GACAAGAUAGUUAAACUGGUAUAACGCUAGCCUCAUGAGCUAUAUUUUCAGGUUCAAAUCCUGAUCUUGUUA
rnacentral:tRNA from 1 species